UUUUUAGAAAUGUUCAGUAAACGACACAAGUUUUCCCGAUGUACUCCGGGUUUUACAUCAGUGUUGUUUGCAACGCCGUAUCCUUCAAUUUCAUUGAAGACAUCAAGCGAACAUAAACUUGAACGGUGUAUGAUGUGCUUGCAAAAGUAAAAAAACAACGUACAUAAACGCCAACGUGUACAUAGAGAUUUUCAUUGAAAAGGUGUACUCCGGAAUUAUUCCGCUUUUGACUCCAUUUUAUAUUUUUAUUUGAGCUCUCUACGUUUGAGGUAGCAAAGAAAAGGUUGAAAAGCAUUUUAAUUUGAGGAUAUUCCAACCUGAAGCAAGUUGUACCAAUGUUAAUGAUGGAAGACCCUGUUAGAAUACUGUGCAUACCUGGGGCUAAAACUUAAUCAAAGAUGACCUAUGCUGAAGUGGUGAGACUUGCUAUGCAGGUAACAGGAGACCAAACUGAGACCACCUUUGAUAUAAAGUGUAUAGAAAUGAAGAAAUCAAUGGGAGCCCCUGCCAAAAGGAGGAGUGUUGUUACAGAAUAUAAGUUCCCAAUGAAACAGGGUAUAGAUGAGUGAUCUAGUGUUUGAGUUCACUGAGGAUGUGGCUGUCAUCCUAACAAACAAAGGUUUACAUAGUAUUUAUCAGGCAACAUUCAGACAGUCAGAUAUUCUACAUUUCGGAUACGGAAUAAAGAAAUUGCUGUUGAGGAAGAGAGAAGUUUCUGUGACGAGAUUGAUACACAUAGAGCAUUUGAGUGUAAUGAAGUUGUGAGU